GACGAACCACACGAACGUUAUUCGGAAUCACUGGGCUUAAAGGGUGCGUAGGCGGCGCGGAAAGUAGGGUGUGAAAUCCCUCGGCUUAACCGAGGAAUAGCGCUCUAAACUACCGUGCUCGAGGGAGAUAGAGGUGAGCGGAACUUAGGGUGGAGCGGUGAAAUGCGUUGAUAUCCUAAGGAACACCGGUGGCGAAAGCGGCUCACUGGAUCUCUUCUGACGCUGAUGCACGAAAGCUAGGGUAGCGAACGGG
rnacentral:rRNA from 1 species